rnacentral:tRNA from 1 species
GCAGCGGAUGGCGCACGCGGCCGCGGUGCACGGGUUGCUGGGGGCACCGCAGGCGCCGGGGGUGUUCAAGGCGCCGGCCGCGGUGC